AGCGAACGCUGGCGGCAGGCCUAACACAUGCAAGUCGAACGGCUCUUCGGAGCAGUGGCGGACGGGUGAGUAACGCGUGGGAACGUGCCCUUUGGUUCGGAACAACACAGGGAAACUUGUGCUAAUACCGGAUGAGCCCUUCGGGGGAAAGAUUUAUCGCCAUUGGAGCGGCCCGCGUUGGAUUAGGUAGUUGGUGGGGUAAAGGCCUACCAAGCCUACGAUCCAUAGCUGGUCUGAGAGGAUGAUCAGCCACACUGGGACUGAGACACGGCCCAGACUCCUACGGGAGGCAGCAGUGGGGAAUCUGGCGCAAUGGGCGAAAGCCUGACGCAGCCAUGCCGCGUGUAUGAUGAAGGUCUAGGAUUGUAAAAUACUUUCACCGGGGAAGAUAAUGACGGUACCCGGAGAAGAAGCCCCGGCUAACUUCGUGCCAGCCGCCGCAGUAACAC
rnacentral:rRNA from 1 species